UACGUAGGGGGCAAGCGUUGUCCGGAUUUACUGGGCGUAAAGGGCGCGUAGGCGGCGUGUCAAGUCGAUUGUGAAAUCUCCGGGCUUAACUCGGAACGGCCAAUCGAUACUGACGUGCUAGAGUGCAGAAAGGGCAAUCGGAAUUCUUGGUGUAGCGGUGAAAUGCGUAGAUAUCAAGAGGAACACCUGAGGCGAAGGCGGGUUGCUAGGCUGACACUGACGCUGAGUGCGCGAAAGCCAGGGGAGCAAACGGG
rnacentral:rRNA from 1 species